GACGAAGGAUGCCAGCGUUAUCCGGAUUCAUUGGGUUUAAAGGGAGCGUAGGUGGCCUUAUAAGUCAGUGGUGAAAUCUCUGGGCUUAACCCAGAAAUUGCCAUUGAUACUGUAGGGCUUGAGUAUAGAUGCCGUUGGCGGAAUAUGACAUGUAGUGGUGAAAUACAUAGAGAUGUCAUAGAACACCGAUUGCGAAGGCAGCUAACGAAACUAUAACUGACACUGAGGCUCGAAAGUGUGGGGAUCAAACAGG
rnacentral:rRNA from 1 species